CCAAAGGCUCUUUUCAGAGCCACUCACAAUCUCCGGCAAAAGAGCU
rfam:Pelodiscus sinensis unplaced genomic scaffold scaffold2737, whole genome shotgun sequence.